UGUGGUCAGCUGAGCAACAACCCCGAGGAUGUUCUCGCCCUGAUUCCUGGAGCCUGUGAAUACCCGCCUUCCCUGGCGAAGGGAAAGGACGGAUGCUUGUGGACGUAGAUUGCUGAUUAGCAGGUCUCAAGUACGGGGAUUGUCCGGGAUCAUCCAGGCGAUGGCGGGGCAGUCACCACAGGAUGUCCUCGGUGAGGAUGACUGCCUGAGAGCUAAGGCUUCCAGACGCUCCCGCUCACGGCUCCUGUUUCCGUCAGCCCCACAGAAAACCGGAAAUGUCCCCUCGGUGCCCCGUGGUGUGUGGGAAGGCGGAUACACCUGAGGAGAAACCCUCCUUCGGCGAAGCUCACUGGAACUCAGCAGUAACUUGACAAGUGCCUGGUCUUCCAGCCCCCAUCCACCUCAGAACUGUAGUGCUAAUUAAGUCAAUUGCCUAGAUGGCUCUGCACACUGCCCAAGCCUCCGCAGAAAAGAACCACAUGCCAUUUAGUCAAAAUAAUAUUAUUUUAUGA